UACGUAGGCAGCAAGCGUUGUUCGGAGUUACUGGGCGUAAAGGGUGUGUAGGCGGUUAUUUAAGUUUGGUGUGAAAUCUCCCGGCUCAACCGGGAGGGUGCGCCGAAUACUGAAUGACUUGGAGUGCGGGAGAGGAAGUGGAAUUCCUGGUGUAGCGGUGAAAUGCGUAGAUAUCAGGAGGAACACCGGUGGCGAAGGCGGUCUCUGGCCGUAACUGACGCUGAGGAGCGAAGCAUGGGAGCGAACAGG
rnacentral:rRNA from 1 species